UACAGAGGGUGCAAGCGUUAAUCGGAAUUACUGGGCGUAAAGCGUGCGUAGACGGUUAUUUAAGUCAGGUGUGAAAGCCCCGGGCUCAACCUGGGAAUUGCAUUUGAGACUGAAUAGCUAGGGUGCGGAAGAGGGAAGCGGAAUUUCCGGUGUAGCGGUGAAAUGCGUAGAUAUCGGAAGGAACACCAGUGGCGAAAGCGGCUUCCUGGUCCAGCACCGGACGUUCAGGCACGAAAGCGUGGGGAGCAAACAGG
rnacentral:rRNA from 1 species